CGUGCGACAGUUUUUAGACGCUGCCUGUUUACACAUGCAACCGCACUAAUAGCAGCAGUUAUAAUAUCAAUACGUGGUACUGCUGUAUGAUAUUAUCACCGAAUAAGCAGUACUUGUAUUAGAUACGUUAACGAAACUGCACCUACCUGUAAUAAGAUAACAGUCCAUUGGAAAGCACGAACCAUCGUUUCUGAUAUCCCUUUAAGUAAUUGGUCCAUUUGGCUAACCAACCUUUCAUUUCAGGUUCACUUUGCUGGAACUUUGCUUCCGUAGUCAUUCUGUGCAGGCUACGAUCAUCAGAUGCCGCUGCGGGGAAAUGUGGGCAACGCAAACUUAGCACAGGCGAUCGUACAAUUACAGCACAGGCGUAUGUUAAAUAGCGCUUCGUAUGGCACAGUGGGUAGGACCACAACUGUAUAUGCCAGCAAAAAGAAAGACAGCCACCAACGAUGACAAUUAAUGCACGCACCGUAUAACGGGACACGUCACGGAGCAACUUUAGUGACUUGCCGAAGCACCUUUGCAGUUUCCGUCAAAUGUACGACAACAAAACGUCGCAACGGUAGUUUGAUGCUCUGGUGCGAUUUACAUGCGAUAAAUUGUGGUUGCCUACCAUAUGCUGUGACGGUCUCUGUACCGUUAAUUGCACAAAUUUUCCAUUAAACUACCUGCAAUCACGUUACUAAGGGAAAAACCAUCAUAAGAUGAUGGCAUCCAUCUUCGUUUGAGAGUACACUUCCGCUUCGUCUUUACGCCCUCUUGCGAUGCUCUCAACCGUAACCUCUUUGUUUUUUGCGCCCGAAAUAGCAAAUUGCAAAUCUCUUCCAGCCAUAGAGUGAUUUAACUACGUAAAGCAGGUGAGGGGCAACGGCAGUGGAGUUUCGCAUAGGCUCGGAAAAUAAGUUGUCAAUGUACCCGUGUAGUUCUGCGUAGGAUCCCACGAUUUGUCGUCUGCUUCUACACUCGCGCGCAUGCUCCUAUCUGCAGAAACCAUCAGUUCACCGCGCUGCUUGUUAACUUCUAAAUGACCUCGCUCUCUUGCGCAUUAUUCUCAGUGUGUAAUUGUUUCAGGAGCUACACAAAAGCCACGAGAAACUCGAGUCAUUCCAUGACAGCAAUACAUCUCACCUCGGCGUGUGCGAGGUCUUCGCCGAAAGGCGAACUUCCAAUAACGUGGUCUGAAGAACGCAAUUUUCAAUAAAGUGCCGGAGGACCGAAGGUCGGGGUUGCGUUUCUUUAACUUUAUCCGCGUCUUCCCGAUGUCAGGCUCCAUCGCAGCUAUCUCGACGCAGCUUCAGGACAGUGAAGAAACCGGCAGCGUUCCAACAUCUCAUCAGCUGAUGCACACUCCGAACACGGUUAUCACACAGACUUUUGGCCAAACGAUAAUCAGAUACGAAAGCAUCAGGGAUCUGAGUCAUAGUAAGUUGGGGAUCAGCCUUCAGAUCCACCUCCUGCAGCCCCCACGCACGGUGGCAAUAAGCACGCAGGUGUGGUCAGUGGCGAAACCGCCGAGCCCGGUAAGUGAUGACGUCAGGACAUCGGGCUUGUUGGGUACAGGAAAGAAAAAGGAUACGCAAGUGAUUCUCUUUCCUCUUACCACAGUCGACUAGCGGGUGCUAUUUUUUUCCUGUUAGAAAUAGGAAGCGAGUGCACUGCAAUUGCACCCCCUAGACUAUUUAGGAUGCCCCUUUUCACAGAACAUGAGAAUAAAUGAUGCGUGCUUUGA